UAAAACGAACAACAUUAAAAAUACCUAAAAUCUCAAGUGAUCUCAAAUCUGGCCAAAUGAUCCUUACCAUAGGUGCCAUUAUACAGGGCCCAGUACACAUAGCAGACGUGGAUUGUUGACUGAUCUGCGCCUGACCAAAAACGAGCGUAAAUGUCUUCAGAGCUCCGGACAAACACCUCUGGGUGUUGGCUCAGGACAUGGUUUUGUACAAACUGUAGGACUACGGAAACACAUCUCUUCGAUUUGCGAUGAACUUCUACUCAAUAUACAAUUGCCUGUUCUCGAUGCACCACCUGCUAAUCUCGAUGAGCCUAAUACAUUAAAAAGGUAGGUGACUGAACGGGACUGUCGCAUGGGACACAAUAUUUGCACUGGCAACAACCGUGAUCUUGAAGCGAGGAAGUUACUUGGGAAUACGCUGGCAAAGGUGAGACCACUGGCGGUGAACAAGAUGAUCUACGUUCUGGACAUGUAUAACAGCAAGUAGAACUUGCAAACCGCAUACCUUCCGUUGAAGACACUCCACAGCUGUAUCUUUCUCCAAUAGUGCUUCUUCCAAUUUGUAUCUAUAAAUUUAAUCGCGACAAAAAUAGGCGACACUUAUUCCUUAUCAAUGGUAUAUAUUCGAAUCACACGUUGCACGUUAUAAAUAUGAUGUAUUCAUUUUCAAUUAGGUUGUCAUAAAGUUGUGAAUGACUGUAUCGUGCUCGUCGAGCUUAAAAAUUACAUCUUGCGACAUUCGUUAGGCAAAAACAUUGAUAGCUCGUUGUCACGGUGAUUAAUUGACAUUUUUAUCAUUUCUUUGUUUAACAUUCGAUUGUUUCGAUGUAACUUAAUGUAUCUAUAUUU